UACGUAGGCAGCAAGCGUUGUUCGGAAUUACUGGGCGUAAAGAGUGUGUAGGCGGUGCUCUAAGUUUGGUGUGAAAUCUCCCGGCUCAACUGGGAGGGUGCGCCGAAAACUGGAAUGCUUGAACAUGGGAGAGGAAAGCGGAAUUCCUGGUGUAGCGGUGAAAUGCGCAGAGUAUCAGGAAGAACACCCGUGGCGAAGGCGGCUCUCUGGGACGGUACUGACGCUGAGACGCGAAAGCGUGGGGAGCGAACAGG
rnacentral:rRNA from 1 species